UUUUACAUUAAUCUUAAAAGUGAAACUAUGGCAGACAUGAGUCCAGAAGCUAAAAAGAGACUUUCUUCUGUUCUUAAACUUGUUAGAGUAACAUUUCAAUAUGGAUUCAUUCCAACAGUUUUAUACAUGGGAUUCAAGAGAGGUGCUGAUGAAGGAAUGCCUCCCUUAGAAAUAGCAAGUAUACUUUGGGGUUGAGAAGACAUCUACAGAGGUAUUGCAGACCAGACAGUCCAUGGCUAGUCAAAAUAUCAGUACUUUCAAAACUUGACUGACAUUGUAGCUUUAUACUGUGAAAACUUGUGAUAUUUAUAUGAAUACAGUUCAUAUUGUAAA